CAGCCGUAAACAAUGUGCGUUGGGUGUGUCGGUAACCACGCGUUACUGAUGCGCCGAAGAGAAAUCGUGAAACGCACCACCUGGGAAGUACGGUCGCAAGGCUGAAACUUAAAGGAAUUGGCGGGGGAGCACCACAACAGGUGGAGCCUGCGGUUUAAUUGGAUUCAACGCCGGACAUCUCACCGGAUAAGACAGCUGAAUGAUUGUCAAUCUGAAGGUUUUACAUGACUAGCUGAGAGGAGGUGCAUGGCGUCAGUG
rnacentral:rRNA from 1 species